UAGGCGGGGAAAGGUAGCCAGGAAGUGGGGCCGAUUCCGAGUUACUGCCUGCAUGAGAACUUAUCUUAAAUAUCUUAAAGUUCUGAACUAUCUAGACAGUUGUGCUGAUAAAGUAAAAGCUUGUGUGGAAUGGACGGAACCACAUGGUUGUCGGAUGAAUCACAUCAUCAUCAUCCGUUACUGGACUAUUUUGUCUUAUUUUUAAUAUUCAUACAAUUACCAACAAAAAGUUUGGAACAUCACAGUCUGGAGUUCCGGUUCACACUGCAGGAGGAACUGAACAAUUACAAAAGUUUCCAUCAGACGACUGUGUUUGACGGUGAAACCGUCUUUUAUUGUGAUGAUAGCCUAAGAGACGAACCCAGACAGGACUGGGUCCAUCAAACAUUCAAUACUGAAGAUCUGAAUGAAAGACGGGACUUCUGUAGGGAUCAAUACCAUGAACAAGUAACACGAUAUUUGGAAAUCCUGAAAAUGAUCACUGGAACAACAGGUUUCUUCCUGAGACGCCGCGGCUGCUCUGGCAACAGGUCAGAGGUCACAAGUUUUGACAAAUGGGGUCUAAAUGGUGACGACUUUCUGACCUUCAACACCACGACCCAAAUAUGGGAACCUGAUUCUGAACUGGCUGCUCUAGUAGCUUCAAACUGGAACCAGUACAGUGACUGGAAUCGUGUAGAUGGUGAAUUCAGCCAGAACUGGUGCAGAAAAAUCCUUCAUGUGUUUGUAGAGAAGAAAGCAGCAGGGAGGAAACAUCAAGAAACAAUCCAUAUUUUGUCCAAGCCUGUCCCUGGAUCUCCUUCUAGAUCUUUAAGUUGCUGCGGAUCAGAUGGAGCAGGUUCCUCUAGGAACAGAGUUGUGCUGCCUGUGAUUCUGCUGGUUUUUGUCGCUUUUAUACUAAUUUUCUACAUACGUAAGUCUCUUUUUAUUCCUUGAAGCAUUAGGUGAAGUCUGUAUGAAGUUACUGGAUGUAGUUUGAAGUUUGUUGAGUGUGAAUUAUGUGAAUGUGGUUUACGUGGUUACAGACAUUUACAUAAAAACACCACAAUUACUACACUGUAACCUGGGCAUCUGUAUAUAUGUCAGAAUGUGUAAAAUCAGAGAAACGCUCCACUCUUUCAAUUACAAACCUUCAUACUUGCACUUUCUUUUCAUUUAUGUGUUCUACUUCAUUUUUACUCUGCAAAGUUGUGAAUGUCGUUGCUUGUAUUGACGUUGUCAUACUUUAUAUUUCUGCAUUAUAUUGUACUGUUUGGCGAUGCAGUUCACCCUGCAGCUGGUUUAGAAACAGUGUUGUAAUCUGCAUAUUUAUAGCCUUUAAUGGUGUGAAAAGAAGAUAUCUGAAGGAUCCGGUUAUAAAUAUGCAACAAGGGCAGGACACUUCACCCCGAGUGUCUCCAGGGGGACUGUCCCUGGCACUACUGGAUAAGGGCGUCUGAUAAAUGCUGUAAAUGAUGUAAAAACAUUGUAAAAAAAAAAAAAAGUAAACAUUUUGGUUGCAUGUCUUUCACAAUAAUUUACAUGAACAAUUCCACAGUGCAUUACAAUAAAUCUGCAACUAUGUACA
rnacentral:lncRNA from 1 species